GAUGAACGCUGGCGGCGUGCUUAACACAUGCAAGUCGAACGGGAAUUACAUUUUAGCUUGCUAAGUUGUAAUUCUAGUGGCGGACGGGUGAGUAACGCGUGGGUAACCUGCCUUAUACCGGGGGACAACAGUUGGAAACGACUGCUAAUACCGCAUAAGCGCACGGGAAGGCAUCUUUCUGUGUGAAAAACUCCGGUGGUAUAAGAUGGACCCGCGUCUGAUUAGCCAGUUGGCGGUGUAACGGACCACCAAAGCGACGAUCAGUAGCCGGCCUGAGAGGGCAAACGGCCACAUUGGGACUGAGACACGGCCCAAACUCCUACGGGAGGCAGCAGUGGGGAAUAUUGCACAAUGGAGGAAACUCUGAUGCAGCGACGCCGCGUGAGUGAAGAAGUAUUUCGGUAUGUAAAGCUCUAUCAGCAGGAAAGAAAAUGACGGUAC
rnacentral:rRNA from 1 species